AGACGCUGGUUCCGCCCCGGCUCUGAGGCCCUUCGGGCUGCGUUCUGGGGUCCUGGAGGGACUCAUGCGUUUACUUAAACAGCCAUAGCCGUUGAACGGAACACGAUGCCACACCACAGUGGGUCCUCAACAGAUAUUUAUGGAAUAAAUAACGCAACGCAAUGUAGUAUUUACGCUUUCUACCUGGCACAUGAAGAGCACUUGAAACUCUUCCACAUUGAUGGUUUUUGUUGUUGUCGUUGUUGUUGUUUGUUGUUGUUUUUUGAGACGGAGUCUUGCUCUGUCGCCCAGGCUGGAGUGCAGUGGCGUGUUCUUUGCUCACUGCAACCGCCGCCUCCCAGGUUCAAGCGAUUCUCCUGCUUCAGCUUCCCGAGUAGCUGGGAUUAACAGGCGCCCGCCACCAUGCCUGACUAAUUUUUGUAUUUUUAGUAGGGACGGGUUCACCAUGUUGGCCACGCUGGUGUCGAACUCCUGACCUCAGGUGAUCCACCCGCCUCGGCCUCCCAAAGUGCUGGGAUUACAGGCGUGAGCCACCGCGCCCGGCCAGCAACCACAUUUCUUGCAUAUGAUCCUCCCAACCACAGGAGUUGGCAUGGCCGACCAUCCGUUGCCAGUUCCCAACUAUACAACAGCUCUCUUUUAUAAUGUUUUCUUACAAACCACACAGUGCUUGGCACAUAAUAAGCAUCCAAUAGAUCUUUAUGCUAUUGAACAAAGCCUUGAAUGUGUUUCAGAUAUUAGCUUAUUUAAUUCCUCACAGCAACGCUGUGAUGGAUAGCUGCUCAGAGAUUGAGUGACAGGUGGUUAGUGACAGAAUGGAGGUUGGAAAUUGGGGUUAUCUAAUGUUAACCUAAAAGCAACUCAAGAGACACAGGCUCGGCCAGGCGCAGUGGCUCAUGCCUGUAAUCCCAGUACUUUGGGAGGCUGAGGCAGAUGGAUCACUUGAGGUCAGGAGUUCAAGACCAGCCUGGCCAACAUGGAGAAACCCCGUCUCUACUAAAAAUACAAAAAUUAGCUGGGCGUGGUGGUGGGCGCUUAUAGUUCCAGCUACUCGGGAGGCUGAGGCAGGAGAAUCCCCUAAGCCCGGGCAGCAGAGGUUGCAGUGAGCCGAGAUCCCACCACUGCACUCCAGCCUGGGUGACAGAGCAAGACUCCGUU
rnacentral:lncRNA from 10 species